AGUGAACGCUGGCGGUAGGCCUAACACAUGCAAGUCGAACGGCAGCACAGUAAGAGCUUGCUCUUACGGGUGGCGAGUGGCGGACGGGUGAGGAAUACAUCGGAAUCUACUUUUUCGUGGGGGAUAACGUAGGGAAACUUACGCUAAUACCGCAUACGACCUACGGGUGAAAGCAGGGGAUCUUCGGACCUUGCGCGAUUGAAUGAGCCGAUGUCGGAUUAGCUAGUUGGCGGGGUAAAGGCCCACCAAGGCGACGAUCCGUAGCUGGUCUGAGAGGAUGGUCGGCCACACUGGAACUUAGACACCGUCCAGGCUCCUACGGGAGGCAGCAGUGGGGAAUAUUGGACAAUGGGCGCAAGCCUGAUCCAGCCAUACCGCGUGGGUGAAGAAGGCCUUCGGGUUGUAAAGCCCUUUUGUUGGGAAAGAAAAGCAGCAGGUUAAUACCCCGCUGUUCUGACGGUACCCAAAGAAUAAGCACCGGCUAACUUCGUG
rnacentral:rRNA from 1 species